AGAGCUUGUGUUUUCCAUUGCAUCAUGGGGUGGUGUUUCAGCAAAUGUGCGCCUGUGUGUUCUAGACAGGACCAGUGGUCUACUAAUCCUCUUUGUCCUACAGCGUGAGCAGUGUCACAUUGUGGUCUUAGACAGAUUCAGUCCGCAGCAGAGUGAUAGUAAGCUCGCUGGUUGCACAGAGCCCGAGGACCGGAUGGAGAGGUGGAUGAUUUCCUUCUCAUACUUCUUCCUGUGUCGGGCACGGCAACAGCAGAAGAGUAUGAUGGCAAUAAUGAUGAGGAUCAGCAGUACAGCAAUUAUGGCUCCUGCAAUGAUGCCAGCAGUAUUGGGAGCUGUGCACAAAGGAGAUGUCACUCAGGAUAAUGGUGAUGAAGAAAGGAGCCGUUUGACAUUGGACAAACAAACACACGUGUGCCUACACUUCAGUUUAGGAUAGAGGCACAGCGUUUCCAUCUUAAAGGAGAAUGUGUGCAAACACUCCUCGGUCAGUCAAGAGUGUUGGCAGGAGAUGAGAUGGGGGGGGGGAGAAUUCAAAAACAAACACCGCUCCAAAUUAAAAGCAGACCAACUCCGGUGAAACCCAGACACACUGUCAGCCAGGCUUUGGGGGUGGGGAGCGAAAGGGAGAGCGAAACAGCACAUGAGGGCCACGAUCCAAGCCUGUCCAGUAUUCUCUGACAUCAUGGUGUUGUAAUGGGUUCAACAAGAGCAUGAAAUGGGACUCUCCAGAUGAGAACCAGGUGCCAAGCGGAAGGGUGGAGCCUCGCUGCCAGGAUUAACAGUAGACUGAUAGUGCUUAAGUGCUCAUAGUAACAUUAUAAACACACAUUAGAUCAGAGCAAAGGGAAAUAAAUAAGCGAGCACUGAUGGACAGAUGGUAGUGUGAGGGGGCCAAGGCUGAGCUAUGCCUAUCUGGCUGCUCUUGCUGCUGUUGUGUUGUACCUACCUACACACACACACACACACACACACACACACACACACACACAGACACACACACGUAGACUACACACAGUUAAUGUCAGCGAGUGAUGACAUUCAGAACACAUCUUUUAAAGGGUGAGAGUGGAUGCGUCAAAGGGUUGUAACACACAGCAUAUCUCACAUUAGGAAUGCGGUCCCAACGAGUAGAUUUAUUUGUUUGAAAGAUGAGGUUAAAGGAGAAGGUGAGAGCGGCUGGGGGGGCCGUGCAGCAAUAAAAGAGCAUCGUCACACAGCUAACCUGGCUCUGUAAAAUGAAUAAUGAGCUCAGAUUUAUGAGUUGCUCAAGGCUAUCGUGUGGGAUGCGUAAGCAAAAUAAUAAUAAUAAAAUAAAUAAAAAAAAGAUCCACAUGGUUGUCAGGACUUCAAAGGGCUAUUAUUGAAUAGUUAAAAAAUAAAAAAUAUAUCCAAGAGUUAAAACAGAAGCCAGGUAGAGCAAAUCAAUAACAGUUGACUUUUCCCAAAUGUUAGGUUUAACGGCUGGAUAUGAAACAUCUGGAAAGUAUUCACAGCGCUUCACUUUUUCAACAUUUAGUCGUAGUAGUAGUAAGCCUUAUUUAAAAAGGAAUGAAUACAUUUCCCCCCCACAAAAUUCUACAUGCAGUACAACACCCCAUAAUGACAACGUGAAAAAUGUCCCCCCUGCCCCUCCCUCCAAAUUUAUUGAAAAUAAGAAACUAAGAAAUCACAUGUACACUACUUAAGUAGGCGAUGGCUUUGCUCAAUACUCAGUUGAGCCAACUGUGGCUGCAAUUACAACCUGAAGUCUUUUUGAAUAUGAUGUUACAAGUUUGCCACAGCUCUCUUUGGGCGGUUUUGCCCAUUCCUCUUUGCAGUACUUCUCAAGAUCCAUUAGUUUGCAUGGGGAGCGUCGAUGCACAGCCAUUUUCAGAUCUUUCCACAGCUGAUGAAUUGGAUUGGAUACUGGCUGAGCCACUCAAGGACAUUCAGAGUUGUCCUGAAGCCACUCCUUUGAUACCUUGGCUGUGUGCUUAGGGUCGUUGUCCUGCUGAAAGAUGAACCGUUGCCCGAGUCUAAGGUCAAGGUUUUAUCCAGGAUGUCUCUGUACAUUGUUGCAUUCAUCUUUCCCUCAAUCCUCUCCCAGUUCCUGCCGCUGAAAAACAUUCCCAGCAGCAUCAUGCUGUGGGUGUGUUUUGCUUCACUGUUGGGAUGGUAUUGGCCAGGAGAUGACUGGUGCCUCGUUUCACCAAACAAGAUGUCUUGCAUUCACGCCAAAGAGGUCAAUCUUGGUUUCAUCAUACCAGAGAAUUUUGUUACUCAUGGUCUGAGAGUCUUGCAGGUGCCUUUGGGCGAACUCCAGGCAGGCUAACAUACCUUUUCCUAAGGAGUGGCUUCUGUCUGGCCACAAUACCAUGCAGACCUGAUUGAUAGAUUCCUGCAGAGAUGGUCGUCCUUCUAGAAAGUACUCCUGUUUUCACAAAGGAACGCUGAAGCUCUGACAUAAUGACCAUUAGGUCACCUCCCUGACUAAAGCCCCUUCUCCAUAGCUUAGUUUAGUCUUCUUUCAUAGUUUAGACAUGUGGCCAGCUCUAAGAAAGACUCCUGGUGGUUCAGAUCUUCAAUGAUGGAAAGCCAAUGUGCUCAUUGGGAGCAUCAAAGCAGCAGAUUUUUUUCCCCUGCACCCUUCCCCACGUCUGUGCAUCGAAAUAAUCCUGUCUCUGAGGUUUACAGACGAUUUAUUUUAUGUCAUGCUUGGUUUGGUUUGGUUUGUGCUCUGACACGGUCAACUGUGUGACCUUAUAUAGACCUUUAUAAAGCAUGUCCAAUCAACUGAAUUUACCACAGGUGGACUCCAAUUAAGCUGUAGAAACAUCUCAAAGAUGAUCACAAGAAACAUUCACAAACAUCCUUUCAUGGAAAAGGCUGUGAAUACUUAUGUACAUGUGAUUUUGUAUGUGAUUGGGGAGAGGAGUCUACAAUUUUAAGAGGGGGGGAUCAUUUCAUCCAUUUUGGAAAAUGUGGAAAAGGUGAAGCGCUGUGAAUACUUUCCCGAUGCACUGCUGUACAGUGUAGAGGCGGCGGCAUCAGAGAAAACAAAGAGCUGCAGGUGUAUACUCUUCAACUACAAUGUCCAGCUACAAGCUAAGGAGAACACAAUGGAUGCUACCUCCUGUAAAGUAGCUGAAGACAUUACACAGUGUGCUCAAUUGUUGUCAGCACGUGUGUAUUCCUGAACAUAGCAGUGUACAUGACAGGGCAAAGCAACACCUGGCCUGCUGUAUAUAUUAGUAUAGCCGUGUGUUUGUGUUCCUGGCACAAGCCACACUGCGACAAGAUCAACUUAAAGGUAAAAUGCAGAGCAGGCAGCAACUUGUCCUCCCUUCUCCUUGUCAAUGCAUCUUUGCUAAGAACAUCCCUGGCCCUGGCGUCAACAGCUAGCAACCUGUCAGAUACGUAGCUCCAGCUAUUUCCCUCUCACUCACACUCACACACACACACACACACACACACAAUAGCUUGAGAUGUCAGCAUAUUAACCAUGAUCAUAGCUGAUCACACCACAAAUAGUCUGUUAGCUGGUAUUUUCUGCCACAGCAUCUAACUAAAUCCAAUGGCAGACCAGAAGCACUGACGAAGUAAGCACUGCAAAUACCAUACCAGAAUAUUGUAAUAGUAAAAGUGUUUCUAAAAAUGAAGACUCUCCAAGCUCAAAAUUACCAUAAUAACCUUGAAUGCUCUGUUGUACUGCUUCAGGAACAAUAUAUUGUGAAACUAAAUGCAGUAGAAACUCGAAAGUUAAUUUCCCCUGAGGUUGUACAAUUCAGAGUUCAACUAAAAUUUUCAAGAAAUAAACACCCCUAAAGUCUCCCAAAUACUGUACUUGAGUAAAUCUGCAGUUGUACAUACAGUCAUGUCCCAAGAUUUCGCAGAAUAAUUCUGGGCUGUCAAAAAGGGCUGCCAUAGAAUUCAAAACAGGAAGUAAGUGUUGCAGGACCCUUUAAAAUCAACAAAGUUUUAAAUACGGGUGGGAAUUGAUAAGAAUUUUACGAUUCAGAUUCUAUUUUCGCGAUUCGAUUCCUUAUCGAUUCGCAAAUUUGGAGCUUGGGGGAGAAAAAAAAACCUCCAGGGGACUUUAAAUAAAGUAGAUUAAAAAAAAAACAAUUAAAUGAAUAAAAUAAAAUUGAAAAAGCCUGCUGGAUAUUAUUUCCAGGGUUCUUGUUAUAAUAUAUAAGCAUUAUAAUCAAAGAAAAACGAUUAAAGUACAGCGGCACGGGUUGUUAAAAAUGAGGAAAAAUAUUAAACAUAUCUACCUGUGUUGUUUCCCUUUUUGUUUUUUUACAUACAUAAUUCUAAUGCAUACUGCGCAUGGUGAUCAGUGUGCAAGAAGUCGACAGUACAGUACAGAGUUGAGGGAAUGUGAUAUUGGUGUUUCCUUCCAGGGUGGAAUUAAAAAGCCCCAUGGCAUGGGGGAGGAAGGAUUUCCUCUGUCUGUCAGUGGAGCAGGGCAGUGACAGCACCCUGUCACUGAAGCUGCUCCUCUACCUGCCCUAAUAUUUGAGUUCGGAGCCUGAGGACCAGCAGCCUAUAUGAGAAACAUUUCAAGUAGUGAUGCACCGAAAUGAACAUUUUUGACAGAAACCGAAAACCGAAACUGGAAACUCCAAGGCUGCAAACUUUAUUUGCAAGCGCUUUUCAUACAAAAAAAAAAUAAAAUGGAAUGCAACAACCCGGAAUUAUAAAUUAUAAAAUUAUGCCAAUUAUUAGCAAAAUUGCAUUUAUGGCUACGACUGCAUAGCUGCCAACCUAUAGAUUUUUCACUUCCAGAACAAUUUGUCUGAAUUUCCAUAUUUUUAAAAUUACAGUGCUGUGAAAAAAAUAUUGGCCCCCUACUCAAAUUAUAUUUUUGCAUAGCUGCCCCAUUUUAAUGUUUAGAACCAUCAAACAAAUGUAAAUAUAACCCAAAUGAACUUAAAAAGCUGUUUUAAAUCGUAAUUUAAUUAAGAAAAAAUUACCUGGCCCUCUGUGAAACAGUAAUUACCCCCCUUGUUAAAUCAUGAAUUAACUGUGUCUAAUAAAAAUAUUUGGUUAAUUUUCUCUGAUCACACCCAAAUCUGAUUACCUCCAGACAUCUCGGCAUCGUAUUAGCCGCGUUAGCUGUAGCCCGUAGAUAGCUGGGGCAGCGUUAAAUAGCAUACAACAAGCAUUCCACCCCUGAACAGCGGAAGGCAGCGAGGUUGGGCGACAAUAGGGAUGCUGCCUUUGGGCUAGUAGCCACAAGCAUGAUGACAUUGGGACGUGCAAAUUUGAAUUAGUACAGUAAAAAAGGUCAUCUUUGUUAUUAAUGUUUGUUUAUGUUGCUUGUAGUUUGUUGAAUGUAUGUGUUAUUUAAGAUUUACGCUUAUUUCACAUUUAUGGUUGAUUUAUGGCACUAUCAAAGCGUGAGUUUAGGGUGUGUACUAAAGAGACCCCCAUGUCAAUUCAAAUGGAUAGUCAGCAAAGCUCUACAGGAUCAAUAGUAUUCUCUAGUAGGAUUCUCUACUCUGAUGUGUACACACCCGCGCAGCAGCUGUCAGUGAUCAACAUGUGACGUUAUGCAUGAGACAUGUUAUUUCGGGAGUUUUAUUUCGGUGUAAAAAGUCUUUGGGUCCGAAACCGAAAAUGCACUUUUGGGCUCUUUUCAGCAGAGACAUUCCGGCAGCCAAAAUUUCGAUGCAUCACUAGCUUCAAGGCAUCUGUUCAUCCAUCAAAUUGAAUCUGCUUCAAGUUAAUAUGAAUAAAUUUUCCCCAAACAUCAAUGAAGACCAUUUCUUCCCUAGUUUGCUAAACUACUGUAACUUACUGGAAAGUAGUUUAACAGCUUCGGCGAUGAAUACAAACGGUCGCAGCAAACUCAUUAACUGUCUAUGUGUACAGUAACAGCUUUCAUUACAACUUUGUCAACAGUUCUGAGGUCUGCUGUAGCUUUGCACAAAAGUGAACUGGGUAGUACUGGGUGAACUGGUGGGAGCAGUGCAAUUACAUUUGUGUGGGAAAAGAGCAGCCAUUUUUGGAAGCUGCCUAUUGAAAAAGCCCAGAUAGCAUGGCCACGAUAAGGGCACAAUGCAGAGCUUAUCUCACAAGAGUGGUGCAUGUAGGUUUCUUUUUCCCCAUACACAAAAUGCGUAGCAGGCCAGUUUCGGGAGGCAUUUCACUUUUGACGUCAUUUGGUCAGUGAACCAACCAGCCACACUAACGUGUGUGUUGUUUGCUGAAAGAGUGAGUCAUCUAACUUAUACAUCUGGGAUGGGUCAGUCAUUUUAGCCUGUGCAAUAAAUAGUUUGUAUCAAAACAACAACUAACAAUACAAUACAAUUUGAAUGUGUAAUUGUUAAAGAAAAAUAUACCAAAUGUAGUCAUACCAGUAAUAUUGUCGAUUACAGAUGAACUUCAACAUUGUAUGAACAGUUACAUUCUAAAUUCAAUCUAAAAAAAAAAUUUUUUACUCAAGACAGAUACACAUGAUAAAUAAUAAAUAAUGACCUCAAUAUUGAGGUAAAAGAUUAUCACUUUUGACAAUCAGCGUGGGUGAACAGAAUUGUAGCGCG